rfam:Triticum aestivum genome assembly, contig: Triticum_aestivum_CS42_TGACv1_scaffold_424655_5BS
GGAUGCGAUCAUACCAGCACUAAAGAAUCGGAUCCCAAAGAACUCCAAAGCUAAGUGUGCUUGGGCGAGAGUAGUAUUAGGAUGGGUGACCUUCUGGGAAGUCCUCAUGUUGCAUUCC